rnacentral:rRNA from 1 species
AUACGGAGGAUCCGAGCGUUAUCCGGAUUUAUUGGGUUUAAAGGGUGCGCAGGCGGCCAUUUAAGUCAGCGGUUAAAUCGUGGGGCUCAACCCCAUUCUGCCGUUGAUACUGGGUGGCUUGAUUGCGGUCGAGGUUGGCGGAAUUCGUUGUGUAGCGGUGAAAUGCAUAGAUAUGACGAAGAACACCGAUUGCGUAGGCAGCUGACCAGACCGCAAAUGACGCUCAUGCACGAAAGUGCGGGGAUCGAACAGGAUUAGAUACCCUGGUAGUCCGCACAGUAAACGAUGAAUACUUGUUUUCGGCGAUAUAAUGUCGGAGGCAAAGCGAAAGCGAUAAGUAUUCCGCCUGGGGAGUACGCCGGCAACGGUGAAACUCAAAUGAAUGGACGGGG